AUUGAACGCUGGCGGCAUGCCUUACACAUGCAAGUCGAACGGCAGCACGGGGCAACCUGGUGGCGAGUGGCGAACGGGAGAGUAAUGCAUCGGAACGUACCUUUCAGUGGGGGAUAACGUAGCGAAAGUUACGCUAAUACCGCAUAUUCUGUGAGCAGGAAAGCAGGGGAUCGCAAGACCUUGCGCUGACUGAGCGGGCGAUGUCAGAUUAGGUAGUUGGUGAGGUAAAGGUUCACAAAGGCGACGAUCUGUAGCGGGUCUGAGAGGAUGAUCCGCCACACUGGAACUGAGACACGGUCCAGACUCCUACGGGAGGCAGCAGUGGGGAAUUUUGGACAAUGGGGGCAACCCUGAUCCAGCCAUGCCGCGUGAGUGAAGAAGGCCUUCGGGUUGUAAAGCUCUUUCGGCCGGGAAGAAAUCGCACGGGCUAAUACCCUGUGUGGAUGACGGUACCGGAAUAAGAAGCACCGGCUAACUACGUGCCAGCAGCCGCGGUAAUAC
rnacentral:rRNA from 1 species